AUUGAACGCUGGCGGUAUGCUUAACACACGCAAGUCGAACGAGUGGCGGACGGGUGAGUAAUGUAUGGGGAUCUGCCCGAUAGAGGGGGAUAACUACUGGAAACGGUGGCUAAUACCGCAUACUAUCGGCUGAACCCAUAUGGGAUUAGCUAGUAGGUGGGGUAAAGACGCACCUAGGCGACGAUCUCUAGCUGGUCUGAGAGGAUGAUCAGGCACACUGGGGCUGAGACACGGCCCAGACUCCUACGUGAGGCAGCAGUGGGGAAUGUUGCACAAUGGGCGCAAGCCUGAUGAAGCCAUGCCGCGUGUAUGAAGAAGGCCUUAGGGUUGUAAAGGACUUUCAGCGGGGAGGCGUUACCCGCAGAAGAAGCACCGGCUAACUCCGUGCCAGCAGCCGCGGUAAUAC
rnacentral:rRNA from 1 species